CUAUUGCUUGCUUGCUUCCUUCCUGUAGCAAAGAGGCCCCGCGGAACCGCGCGGAGCGAGGGCGGGAGAGCCGGCAGAGGGCAGCGCUGUGAGGGAAAGCGGGCGGGAUGCUGCGGGCGGACGGAGCACCGAACGCAAAUGCGUUGUGCUGGAGCUGUGAACCCGUGAUGGCACGGAGAUGUCUGAGCAAAAAGGAUGGCAUCUCUCAAGUCUCUUAUGAAAUUUCUUCUCGACUGCCUUCCUUGAGCUGGAAAAAUGAAAAAUGGAUCUUCUAAACACAGUGCCUCUACUUCUUCAAUAAUACACUGAAUCAUGUGAACUGGGAGGUCUCUGAGAAGCUGGGUGCUCCUUUCCAUGUAACUGGAGUGAGAAUGUCCUGCACAAGUGGUGAAAAGAUAGGAAAUUGAAAAGUUCUACUUUGUGUUUGCCUGGCGCUUUGCCCUGGAUGAGGACUGAGUCCAUGGUGUGUUUUGUGGCUAGACUGCUUUUUGAAGUUCAGGCAGAACUUCAAGAGAGUGGAUAACAUAUUAGUAUGAAUUUUACCAGUCUCUUUUCAUGCACUUGUUAAAAACAAAAAAAAAAAAAAACCAAAAACAAAAAACCAACAAAACAACCCACAGUAGAAGUUGACUGAUACAAAUUCAAAUGCAGCUUCAUGAUAAAACUGACCAAAAGAUGUCUUAAUGAGUGCAUAUAGCAUCUUCUGUUUUCUUAGCAUUUUGGGUAUUUCAUUCACGACUGGCUUUAUUUCUUCUUAUCCCUCUUGCCAACAGUCUGAAUUGGAUGUUUGAACAUACUAACUGUGUAGUAAGACUAAAGUAUCAACUGGUUCCUCAUUUUUAUGCGAACACACCAAUCUGUGAACACAGUCAAGAUCGUCAUUGGAGUAAUUGUACUGAUGGCAGUAGACUUGCAGCUGUGAUUAACUUAGUUUAUUAUUACUGAAGAAAUUAAUUCCAUAAAAGGCAUUUAAGUUCUCAGUCUUGCUGUUAGCUGGAAAGAGUCUUGACUUUCAAAGACAAUUGGAACAGAGAGCCCAGUAGUCACUGUAUUUGCUGUACUCUGCAGAUCUCAGCUUUUGACCUUUAUGGUAAUGAGAUGACCAUUCCACAUCAUUGUAACCAUAUGUAGUGCACUAUUCAAAAUACUGGCUACAUGUUAGACCUGUGGUGCCAGAGAAUGUGCAUGUGACAAAGAGGAAGGUGAUUAUGCAAAGCAGGAGUUACCUUCCCAGAACAAAGAAGUAGUGGGCAUUUUCUGUUUAUGGCACUUGGGAGGACUGUCAGGCUUCUCUGAGCAAUUUGGAUCAGACAGCAAUGUGUUUGCAGCCACAGCUAAACACAGAACUCCUCUCCACUGCUGAAUACGCAGUCUGUAAUUGAGUAAUUGCAUGCAGGAAUCCACAGUGAGGGUUUUAUUAGUUUGCCUGGUGAUCAAGUUUAAGGGUAUAACUUUGAAAAACUUCCUGAAAUGCACAGAACCAGUAUUGGAAUAAAGGCUACAUUGCAAUAUCCUGACUAUAACUCAGCACUUACUACUUUCUCCCUCUUGUUAAGGGCUCUGGCUUAAAGCAUCUAUUUCAUUUCUAGUUCUGCUCUUUAUGGUGGGAAGAUAACUAUGCACAGUGCUACCGUGAUGAGCUGUGGCUUGUAAAUUGACUGUCUUUGUAACAAUGUUGCUUAGCAUUUCUAGUUACUGUACGACUAAUGAAAAGAGUUUAUGCCUAAAUUCAUCCCAGGUGUAAUUCCAGUAAAGGGAAUGGAGCCAGGCAUGCAUUUAGUGCUGAGUGUUUUUCUUCCCUUCUCUCCAUUACUCAAGCCUGUGAGGCCGCUGCAGAGAGGGGAAUAAAAGAUGGUGAGGAAGAAACAAGAAUGAAUGGACAGCUGUUGACUAAUUCCACCAGUGCUAAUAUAGAGCUGUGCAAAUGUACCAAAAGAAAAGCAGCACAUCGUGAGGAUUCCAGCUUUUAUCUGAAGAACAUCUCUUAUCCAUAAAGAUCAUGGAGAGCUUUACAGUUGUGGAAGUGUGAAUAACACUGUUAAGUCCUUUCAGUCAGAGAGGUGAAAAGGCAGUCAUUGGACUGGGAAAGGGUAAUUGACUGAUGGCUUCUGUGACCCUGCUACUCAAAGAGACAAGGACCUUGUCAGUCAGACAAAAAUUACUACUUAGAAGCAGCACAGAAAUCCAGUCAUUUAGCUCCAGUUAUCAGUGAGGUCUGUUCAUUUUAACCCUUCAUGCAAUGCUUUAAAAAUAUAAGAAGAGGCAAAUCUUUACAGCAGUUUAAAGACAUUUAUACCAUGAAUAAAAAAUAUGCUAGCU